rnacentral:rRNA from 1 species
UGGGGAAUCUUGCGCAAUGGGCGAAAGCCUGACGCAGCGACGCCGCGUGAGGGAAGAAGGCCUUCGGGUUGUAAACCUCUUUCAGGAGGGACGAAGCCACUCGGGUUAAUAGCCCAGAGGGUGACGGUACCUCCAGAAGAAGCCCCGGCUAACUACGUGCCAGCAGCCGCGGUAAUACGUAGGGGGCUAGCGUUGUCCGGAUUUAUUGGGCGUAAAGAGCGUGUAGGCGGCCAGGUAGGUCUGCUGUGAAAACUCGAGGCUCAACCUCGAGACGUCGGCGGAAACCAUCUGGCUAGAGUCCGGAAGAGGAGAGUGGAAUUCCUGGUGUAGCGGUGAAAUGCGCAGAUAUCAGGAAGAACACCCGUGGCGAAGGCGGCUCUCUGGGACGGUACUGACGCUGAGACGCGAAAGCGUGGGGAGCGAACA